rnacentral:lncRNA from 1 species
UGCAUAUGUACUUCUACUGUUUCUGUAAUGUUGUUAAACCCUUGUUGGCUAACUGUUAGUCACAAAUACACAUAUAUCUAUUAUUUGAUGUCUCCAAUCGAGGUGUCUCCCACCAGCUAGCUACUGGAGUGUGAAACAAUUGACCGACGUCAGUUCAUCAAAAGCCUUGAGUUUUGUUAGUUAAAUCUGCAAUAUGCAUACCCCCAUGCCAGCAAGCACACUAGCUCAGAACAACAACAAAUUCUUAACCAGCUAGCUAACCAAACAUGGUGCAGGUUAAUUAGAUGGACGAACAUUAUUGCCUCGGCUUGAUUUUGCCGGAUAUGCAUAUGUUGCCCAACCAUUGACGAGUUUCCGCACAACAUGUCACUUGUGCUCCAUAAUCAAGGGAAAUUAUAUUCACUUUUCAAUCACCGCUUGAAAGCAAUUCAACUAGAAGCCAGCUAAAUUUAGCUAAUAAUUUGACCGAUGUACGCGUAAGAUCCGCAAUUGAAGGAAUGCAAAAUUGAUAACUGUGUGCACUCUAGGCAUACUUCCCCUAGCUAGAUCCAUAGUCAAUUCAGGCAAAGACAUGUGCACUGCCUCCGAAAUAUUCAUGCUUUGAUUCAAUACUCAAUCUGAUCCAAAAUAAACCACGACACUUAUUUUUAGAUCGGAGGGAGCAACUAGUAUAGAAUCUGCACUUGUGGUGCAAAAAUAGAAAAAUGCAUUCUAGGCCGUGGAUUGAAGAUGAAUGGCACAGAGGUACCUCCUGCCACUUAAUGUGUAUUUUUACAAAAACCACCCGCUAGUAGUCAGAUAUAAAACAUGACUUUCAUUGUAAACACCUUACCUUUCUCAUAUUCGUUCAUUUUGUCCUUGGUACAUAAGACUAACUUUCAAAACGUCACAGUUGAUGCUUCAGCUUUAUACUUGUCUAAUGGAUGGUUUCAUGUAUAUAUAAGUACAGUACUGGCUUCUACUAUAUGUCUAUCAAUCGUGCAAGAAAACUAAACAAGUUGGUUACCAAAGUGUGUCAAUAUGUAUCACAAAUAUAAGUGAAGAUGAGAAAAUUAAGUCAAGCUAGACCAUUUCAGGCACAUGUUAGACUGGACAAUUCCAGGCACAAAUAUUGGAAUUAUUUAAGUACAUGUCAAGCUAGACCAUUAGUUGCACAAAUAUUCGAGUACACGUCAAACUAGACCCUUCCCGGGCACACAUAUUUGUCAAUCUGGCGCACCCACGAGAGACAUACAUACAUAUGAAGUGAUACAUAAGAUGACAUGAUCAUUUCUAGUGCAUGGCCGGUAAGAAUGAGUGUGAAGGACUUAAGGAUCACACUGAACAAUCAUUGCUUUAAAAAAUUGUAUCAGCUUUGCUAUCCUGAUGGUAUAUGACAGAAAGUUCUUCUCUUGCCUCCAGUUAUACUGUUUCUUGCCCUUGGAACUUCAUAUGCCUGGGAAAGAUCACACAAAACAAAUACUGUUUUUAUUUGCUUAGAACCAGGUGAGACAGCAACAACUAAGAUUCUCUAGAAGCUGUAAAUAAUUCUUCAAAAUGACCCAAGAGCAAUGGCAGGGGCAGAGCUUAGUACUAGUCAAUGAGCUCUAAACUACUCAUCAUACCCAGAGCAUAACAUGUGUUCUACACCAAAAUCCAGAUGUCUGACUUCUCAAUCUCCUGAAACAAAACAAAUUCAAAAUUCAGAAGUCAUCUCCAAUUGCAUGGUUGCAAAUUAGAAGGCUACAGGCUGCACCACGCAUGCCGGUGCAGCUCAGGUAGCUAGCUAGCUAGCUCUCUCUGCUCUGCAUAUGUACUUCUACUGUUUCUGUAAUGUUGUUAAACCCUUGUUGGCUAACUGUUAGUCACAAAUACACAUAUAUCUAUUAUUUGAUGUCUCCAAUCGAGGUGUCUCCCACCAGCUAGCUACUGGAGUGUGAAACAAUUGACCGACGUCAGUUCAUCAAAAGCCUUGAGUUUUGUUAGUUAAAUCUGCAAUAUGCAUACCCCCAUGCCAGCAAGCACACUAGCUCGGAACAACAACAAAUUCUUAACCAGCUAGCUAACCAAACAUGGUGCAGGUUAAUUAGAUGGACGAACAUUAUUGCCUCGGCUUGAUUUUGCCGGAUAUGCAUAUGUUGCCCAACCAUUGACGAGUUUCCGCACAACAUGUCACUUGUGCUCCAUAAUCAAGGGAAAUUAUAUUCACUUUUCAAUCACCGCUUGAA